CCUUCUUUUAUAGGUGCUCUUUCUAACACUGAGAAGGUUUAACAGUCACUGCUGCUUAAACUGGGUCAGUGAAGGCAUCACGCAGAACUAAUAGUUUCCUGAGAGAGAUCAGUGGAGGAGAAAACACAACACUGACACCCACACACUUCACUGGCUCUCUGAUCACAUGGAAGAAGCUUUCUAACAGGGUGAGCAGAGAGGAAACCACAACACUGACACCGAGUCACAGAGGAGGAGGAGGAGGAAGAGGAUUUGAUGUGAGGAUGAACGGAGCAAACAGUGGGUCUGAUUUCAGCAGCAUCAGGAUGGAGGAAACAUCUCUGCUGCUGCUGCUCUCUCUGAGCUCACUGCUGUGCUGCACCACAAACCAAGCUCGUCUGACCCUCAGUCCCAGCAGAUCUCAGCAUAUUUUUUAGACAAUAUGUUUCUGAGCUGUGAGGUCUCCACCCAGCUGAUUUCUAUUCACAGGUGAUUGGCUGACUGCCUGGAUUUCUCCAUCAACUGCCUGGCAGUGUCAUUGCUCGUCCAUGAUUGGCUGGCUCCUUAGCACAUACCUGGCUGUGCCAUCACCCGUCUGCAAUUGUUCUGCUCUGUCAUCACCCGCCUGUGAUCGGCCCAAUCGCCUGAUGUCCAACUGGAGCUCAACUCUUUAAGAUGGCUGCUGACCAUCAUUCAGGGCCGCUGUGAUCAUCCAGCACAGCUUGUCAUCUGCAGUCUUAGGACUUGGUGUUGCAGUGUGUAUUUAGGCUGAAUUGUGAUCAGUUUGACUUGUUUUGAUGAUUUUCUUUGAACAAGCUUGGUGUGGAUGCUUUUGCUUAUUGUGUUACAUUGUGGAUGGCUUUAAGUCUUUAGUAUAAUUUUGGUUAAUCUUGAAAUCUCUUGGUUAAGGUUGUUUGUUUUGUGUUUCAUUGCCUUUUGCUAUCAGAACUGUGUUCAUUUACCUUUAGUAAUUUUUGCUUUGAAAAAAAAAAAAAGCAUUUUACUUAUACCAUUUAAGUUCUUGUCUUUAAUAUUGGAAACCUCUUUUUUUCUAGUGGAGCCAGGGUUGUAAAAAUAGAGCAGGGGGGUAUUACACGAAGCUGGAUUAAGGGAAAGCCAGGCUUAUCUUGAUUUAACUUAUCUUAUCUGGG